GUUUGAUCCUGGCUCAGAAUCAACGCUGGCGGCGUGCCUAACACAUGCAAGUCGAACGAGAAAGUGGAGCAAUCCAUGAGUAAAGUGGCGCACGGGUGAGUAACACGUGACUAACCUACCCUGGAGUGGGGGAUAACUGAGGGAAACCUUAGCUAAUACCGCAUAAUACCUACGGGUCAAAGGAGCAAUUCGCUUUGGGAGGGGGUCGCGGCCGAUUAGUUAGUUGGCGGGGUAAUGGCCCACCAAGACAGUGAUCGGUAUCCGGCCUGAGAGGGCGCACGGACACACUGGAACUGAAACACGGUCCAGACUCCUACGGGAGGCAGCGAGUGGGGAAUUUUGCGCAAUGGGGGAAACCCUGACGCAGCAACGCCGCGUGGAGGAUGAAAGUCCUUCGGGACGUAAA
rnacentral:rRNA from 1 species